GGCACUUUGGCGGAGUGGUUAACGCGAUGCCCUGCUAUGUAUAGUGAUGCCUCAUCGACGGUGAUCAUCACGAAGUAGUGAAGGCAUUCCCUUCGGGGGCGUGUGUUCGAAUCACACAGGUGUCG